rnacentral:rRNA from 1 species
UUGAACGCUGGCGGCAUGCUUUACACAUGCAAGUCGAACGGUAGCAGGCCUUCGGGUGCUGACGAGUGGCGAACGGGUGAGUAAUGCAUCGGAACUUGCCCAAUCGUGGGGGAUAACGUAGCGAAAGUUACGCUAAUACCGCAUACGCCCUGAGGGGGAAAGUGGGGGACCGCAAGGCCUCACGCGAAUGGAGCGGCCGAUGUCAGAUUAGCUAGUUGGUGGGGUAAAGGCCCACCAAGGCGACGAUCUGUAGCGGGUCUGAGAGGAUGAUCCGCCACACUGGGACUGAGACACGGCCCAGACUCCUACGGGAGGCAGCAGUGGGGAAUUUUGGACAAUGGGCGCAAGCCUGAUCCAGCCAUGCCGCGUGCGGGACGAAGGCCUUCGGGUUGUAAACCGCUUUCAGCCGGAAAGAAAUCGUCAAGGCUAAUAUCCUUGAUGGAUGACGGUACCGGAAGAAGAAGCACCGGCUAACUACGU